GUUGAAUGUGGCUUGAGCCUUGACACUUUUAUUCUGAGGUUCCAGCUAGCCCUAAGCAGGAAUUUCUGAGAUGGAUAUGUCUCAUUGAUCUUGGAUUUGAUCUGCAGCUAUAAGUUACAAAAGAGGGAGGUCUUACUGUGAAAUACAUCAGAAUAUUUUGUGUUGAUUGAAACUUUGUGCUCAUUUUAGUUUCUUAUCAUUUCCACUUAAGACUGUGUGCUUCCCGUUUUACAACAGAAAAGCAGCAUUCACACAUCUUGAAUCACAAGUUGCCUCAAGAUGCAAAAGCCUCAAUAAAGGGACAAUCUGAAUUAUUAGUAUAAAAAGAAACCUCCUUUAAUUAAAACAGCAAAACCCCAUGGCUAAAUAUCUGGAUAUCUUAAAUCUCAGAUGAGCGUCUUAGCCUCUGGAUUACUGCUCAAUGAGGAAAGCUAUGAAAUGCAUGGAUAACUUGCUAAUCAGUAUUUGCCAUAUGUGCUAGCAGCAUCAGCAUCAGUUGGGAGAUUAUGGUGGCCUCCAUGUCAGACCUCCUAAAUCGGAAUAUCAGAGAAGGUGGCCCAGGUUACCAUGCUUCAUCUGCCAAUGCAUUGAAAACUUGGAAUGUAAAUUAAUUCAACCAUUGUGGAAGAUGGUGUAGUGAUUCCUCAAAGACCUAGAAGCAGAAAUAUCAUUUGAUCCAGAAAUCCCAUUACUGUGUAUACACCCAAAGGAAUAUAAACCAUUCUAUUACAAAGAUACAUGCGUGCGUAUGUUCAUUGCAGCAUUAUUCACAAUAGUAAAGACAUAGAGUCAACCCAAAUGCCCAUCAAAGACAAACAAUAUGUGGUACAUAUACACCAUGGAAUACCAUGCACCCAUAAAAAGGAACAAGAUCACAUUUUUUGUAGGGACAUGGAUGGAGCUGGAAGGCAUUGUCCUCAGCAAAAUAACAUAGGAACAGAAAACCAAACACCCCAUGUCCUCACUUAUAAGUGGGAGGUAAACAAUGAGAACACAUGGACACAGGGAGAGGAACAACACACAUUGGGGCCUGUUGGAGGGUGGGGUGGGGGAGAGAGAGCAUUAGGAAAAGUAGCUAACUCAUGCUGGGCUCAAUGCGUAGGUGAUGGGUUGAUAGGUGCAGCAAACCACCAUGGCACAUGGUUACCUAUGUAACAAGCCUGCACAUCCUGCACAUGUACCCCAGAACUUAAAAUAAAAAUAAAAAUUUAAAAAAACUC
rnacentral:lncRNA from 10 species